UACGUAGGGUGCAAGCGUUAAUCGGAAUUACUGGGCGUAAAGGGUGCGUAGGCGGAUAUAUAAGUUAGAAGUGAAAUGCCAGAGCUCAACUUUGGAACUGCUUUUAAAACUGUAUGUCUAGAGUUAGUUAGAGGGGGGUGGAAUUUCAAGUGUAGCAGUGAAAUGCGUAGAGAUUUGAAGGAACACCGAUGGCGAAGGCAACCCCCUGGGACUUAACUGACGCUGAGGCACGAAAGCGUGGGUAGCAAACAGG
rnacentral:rRNA from 1 species